rnacentral:sRNA from 1 species
AGAGCUGCUCCGGCCGCGGCCCUAGGAGCUGGAGGAGCCGCGACUCAGCAGGCAUGACUGGAGAGGGAAGUCCCAAUGGUGCUAGAAUGGUGCUGCAGUGGCAGAAGACGGCUCACGAGUGAGGUCUGGAAGAACAACAGGGAAGACAUCCAUCAUUUGCUCCAAAGUGUGCAAGUCAAAUCCUGGGGAGAAUCAUGAUAACCCUGAUCACUGAGCAGCUACAGAAGCAGACUCUGGAUGAGCUGAAAUGCACACGCUUCAGCAUCAGUCUGGUAAAAGACCAGUCUUCCUGCUUCUCCACGACCCCCUCCCCCUUUUUUCUGAGGCUGAUUGUUGCUAUUACUUUACUCUUGUCCUGUGCUGUAUGAAUCAUGGUACUUAACCUGGAAGAGCCCACUAAUGGCUCAAAACCCAGCCCAAAAGGAAGGGGGCAGGGAUUUUUCCACCGAUAGAGAAGGGACAGCAAAACUUGGGUGGAGAAGGGUUUGAGAUGUUGGAAGAUGUAGAUUGUUUGACUUACUAACUUUGGAAAGACAAGAGGAAGAACACUUAAUGUCCCUAACAUCCCUGUAGCUCAUGAAUCGCAGAGGAGAACUGAAGAGGGCUUCCUAGAAAUGUGUCAGAGUGUCCUGAAUCCAAAUCAUGAUGGAUAUUCUCUCUUUCUUAGCCUUUGCCUGAUCAUGCAGACAUCUCCAACUGUGGGAACCCUUUCCAGCUUGUGUCUGGUAAGGCAUCGUGUGUGUUUGUGUACGUGUGUGUACCCAUUCCUCUCUCCACACAUUUCUAUCAUUGGUUUCCAGUGACCAGGGCUAGCGAGCCUACCUCUAGAAAUUUCUUGCCAGGGUCAACUUCUGAGAUUGGCAGUUGUCUUUCAUGUUCUAGCAUGAAAGUUAUCUGGUUGGUUUGCUCUUAUUCUAGCUUUGUGGGGACUUGUAUAAUCUAAUUUUUUGAAUAGGUAAUACAUUCACAUGUCAAAAUUUUAAAAAUAACAACAAAAAGGUUAUGCUGAAAAAAGUCUCUCUUACUCUCCUGUUCCCUAUCUACCCAGCUUCUACCACCUCCCUAAAAGUAUUAGUUUCUUAUACAGUAUAUGUGACUAGAAUUUCUUUAUAUAAAAAGAAGCAAAUGUAUAUAUUUAUUUCCUUUCUUUUUUAAGUUCUGGGAUACAUGUGCAGAACGUGCAGGUUUGUUACAUAGGUGUACUUGUGCCAUGGUGGUUAGCUGCACCUAUUUUAUUUCCACAUUUUUAACACAAAAGGUUGCAUACUAUGUAUUAUUUUGUACCUUUAAAAAAAAAAAAUGGAACCGGGUCUGGUGGGUCACACCUAUAAUCCCAGCACUUUGGGAGGCCGAGGCGGGCAGAUCACCUGAGGUCGGGAGUUUGAGACCAGCCUGACCAACACGGAGAAACCCCAUCUCUACUAAAAAUAUAAAAUUAGCCAGGCGUGGUGGCGCAUGCCUGUAAUCCCAGCUACUCGGGAGGCUGAGGCAGGAGAAUUGCUUGAACCCAGGAGGUGGAGUUUGCGGUAAGCCAAGAUUGCGCCAUUGCACUCCAGCCUGGAUAACAAGAGCAAAACUCCGUCUCAAAAAAAAAAAAAAAAAAAUCGCUGGACACAGUGGCUCACGCCUGUAAUCCUAGCACUUUGGGAGGCCGAGGUGGGCGGAUCAUGAGGUCAGGAGUUCGAGACCAGCCUGGCCAACACAGUGAAACCCUGUCUCUACUAAAAAUACAAAAAUUAGCCUGGCAUGGUGGUGCACACCUGUAAUCCCAGCUACUCGGGAGGGCAAGGCAGGAGAAUCACUUGAACCCAGGAGGCGGAGGUUGUGGUGAGCCCAGAUCAUGCCACUGCACUCCAGCCUGCGCAACAAAGCAAGACUCCAUAUC